AGCAUGUGUGUUAGUGGAAGCGUCUGGAAAGGUGCGCGAUACAGGGUGACAGCCCCGUACACAAAAGCGCAUGUGCUGUGAGCUCGAUGAGUAGGGCGGGACACGUGGUAUCCUGUCUGAAUAUGGGGGGACCAUCCUCCAAGGCUAAAUACUCCUGACUGACCGAUAGUGAACCAGUACCGUGAGGGAAAGGCGAAAAGAACCCCGGCGAGGGGAGUGAAAAAGAACCUGAAACCGUGUACGUACAAGCAGUGGGAGCACCCUUCGGGGUGUGACUGCGUACCUUUUGUAUAAUGGGUCAGCGACUUAUAUUCUGUAGCAAGGUUAACCGUAUAGGGGAGCCGGAGGGAAACCGAGUCUUAACCGGGCGUUAAGUUGCAGGGUAUAGACCCGAAACCCGGUGAUCUAGCCAUGGGCAGGUUGAAGGUUGGGUAACACUAACUGGAGGACCGAACCGACUAAUGUUGAAAAAUUAGCGGAUGACCUGUGGCUGGGGGUGAAAGGCCAAUCAAACCGGGAGAUAGCUGGUUCUCCCCGAAAGCUAUUUAGGUAGCGCCUCGUGAAUUCAUCUCCGGGGGUAGAGCACUGUUUCGGCUAGGGGGCCAUCCCGGCUUACCAACCCGAUGCAAACUGCGAAUACCGGAGAAUGUUAUCACGGGAGACACACGGCGGGUGCUAACGUCCGUCGUGAAGAGGGAAACAACCCAGACCGCCAGCUAAGGUCCCAAAGUCAUGGUUAAGUGGGAAACGAUGUGGGAAGGCCCAGACAGCCAGGAUGUUGGCUUAGAAGCAGCCAUCAUUUAAAGAAAGCGUAAUAGCUCACUGGUCGAGUCGGCCUGCGCGGAAGAUGUAACGGGGCUAAACCAUGCACCGAAGCUGCGGCAGCGAACGUAUCACCCAAGACAACUUUACGGAGUUGACGAUUGACGGAGCGAAGCGACGUCAAAGCGUUCAUUAAAGUCGAGUUGGCUUAGGGAUACGUUCGUUGGGUAGGGGAGCGUUCUGUAAGCCUGUGAAGGUGUGUCGUGAGGCAUGCUGGAGGUAUCAGAAGUGCGAAUGCUGACAUAAGUAACGAUAAAGCGGGUGAAAAGCCCGCUCGCCGGAAGACCAAGGGUUCCUGUCCAACGUUAAUCGGGGCAGGGUGAGUCGACCCCUAAGGCGAGGCCGAAAGGCGUAGUCGAUGGGAAACGGGUUAAUAUUCCCGUACUUGGUGUUACUGCGAAGGGGGGACGGAGAAGGCUAUGUUGGCCGGGCGACGGUUGUCCCGGUUUAAGCGUGUAGGUGUGUGUUCCAGGUAAAUCCGGUUCACUUUAACACUGAGGCGUGACGACGAGGCACUACGGUGCUGAAGCAACAAAUGCCCUGCUUCCAGGAAAAGCCUCUAAGCAUCAGGUAACACGAAAUCGUACCCCAAACCGACACAGGUGGUCAGGUAGAGA
rnacentral:rRNA from 1 species